GAAAACCUUUGGCAACAAUAAUAUGUAUUGCCACUAGUGGCAAGUUCGCCAGAGGUUUUUUUCUGGCAAACAAUUCCCUCAAGAUUCUAUUUUAAUCUGUGGCAACAAUAUUUAUUGCCACUAGUAGUGACAAACAGAAGUUGUUUUUGGUGAACACAUGAGUUCCAAGACCAGUAACCGUAGAUGACCAGUCAAGGGGAGAAGAAAAAUCUGUUGGAAAAUGGAAACAAAGUUAUCUAGCUACCUACCGAAGUUGUCAAUUACAAGGGAAAAAAUACAGAUUGAGGCCUUCAAUCAAGCUGAGGACAGAGAAAUAUGUGUGCACCAGUUCAUGCAUUCAACAAACUUUGGACGAAGGACUUCCACAGGUCCGCUGUCUCCAAAGACAAUAGUUCUGAACUGGAUCUGAUUUUGUUUUUUAACAUCCAUUGGUUGAAAGCUCAUUGUUCAGUUAUCACUUGGCUCGUGUAAAUUCUGUAGUUGCCCCUUUAAACCUAAUCCUAAAAUCAAAUCAAAGUUUAUUGGUUGUGUACACAGACUUGCAAAUGUUAUGGCAGGUGCAGCGAAAUAGUUUUGGUUUCUAGCUCCAACACUGCAAUAAUAAAAAUAAUACACACAUAAUCCAUAACAACAACAAAAAAUCAUGUGUUAUAUUGGAUGAGCCAUGACUAGAAUGCAGUAUAUACAUAUAAAGUGGGUGAAACAGUAUGUAAACAUUAACGUGACCAGUGUUCAAUGACUAUGUACAUAGAGCAGCAGUCUCUAAGUUGCAGGGUAGGGUACCGGCUACCGUUAGCCGGCUAGAACAGUGACUAAGGCGCAGGACUGCAUACAAGGCCGGCUAGUGGUGACUGUUUAACAGUCUGAUGGCCUGGAGAUAAAAGCUGCUUUCUCAGUCUCUUGGUCCAAGCAAAGCUGUUUGCACCUGUACUGUCUCCACCUUCUAGCGGGGUGAACAGGCCGUGGCUCGGGUGGCUGAGGUCCUUGAUGAUCUUCUUGGCCUUCCUGUGACACCGGGUGCUGUAGAUGUCCUGGAUGGCAGGCAUUUCUCUCAUGUAAAUGUAGCUACAUAAAAAUAUGAAAUAAACCAUUUAUAUUUAGGGAAAUAUUUAGCAUGCUGAUGAUUUCAAGUUGUAUUGGAUUUAUUUAUUAUUUGUAUCUGUUAAGACAUUGAAUGCAUGUUGUUUAGCAUAUUUAGUACAUUUUGUAUGUUGUCUUUCUUUUUGUAUGUGUCUUUAGUAUGAUACGUUUAGUUUUCUCUGUGAGGAGCAAGUUCAUAUGUGAUUUGGUUUAUGUAGAUAUGACAUUUCAAUGUUGUUAAUACCCAAAGUAACCAAAAAAAACGGAUCUAAUUUGCAUAUUCAUAAUGAGUUUGCAGCAAAUUUAAAGCAAACAGUAGAAUGUUCGCCACACGUUUCCCAGAAUUGUUUGCCAGAAGUUUGCAAAUUUGCAGCAACAGUUUGCCA
rnacentral:lncRNA from 1 species